UUCAAAAUCUUACUGUUCUGCUGCUCAGCUCACAAUCAAUAUGUCUAUCAACAUGCUGAUUCUGAUGCUUCACUUGUGUACACCAGAUGCUUGUCAAAAUGACAACAUGGAUGUCCCAACUCCUGAUACUGAAGUUGUAUUUGCAAGGCUUGGGAUCGAUGUUGUUGCAACGACAAGGAAAUAUAACAAUGUGCAGCUCGAUGUCAAACCUAUGAAAAUAAGAUGCCUGUGACCAACUUUUCCGAGAGAGCCAAGCAAUGAUUCGCCGCUCAACACGCAGGCGGACAUGCUAUGCUUCAUAUAGCAGGAGGCCACCACGUGGUAAUUUUAAGAGUGUCAAGGUUAGAGAUGGAAUUUAUUUUUUCUAUUUACAAUACUUUUUAUGCCUCCUGCAAAGUUCG